rnacentral:rRNA from 1 species
AUUGAACGCUGGCGGCAGGCCUAACACAUGCAAGUCGAACGGUAACAGGAAGAAGCUUGCUUCUUUGCUGACGAGUGGCGGACGGGUGAGUAAUGUCUGGGAAACUGCCUGAUGGAGGGGGAUAACUACUGGAAACGGUAGCUAAUACCGCAUAACGUCGCAAGACCAAAGAGGGGGACCUUCGGGCCUCUUGCCAUCGGAUGUGCCCAGAUGGGAUUAGCUAGUAGGUGGGGUAACGGCUCACCUAGGCGACGAUCCCUAGCUGGUCUGAGAGGAUGACCAGCCACACUGGAACUGAGACACGGUCCAGACUCCUACGGGAGGCAGCAGUGGGGAAUAUUGCACAGUGGGCGCAAGCCUGAUGCAGCCAUGCCGCGUGUAUGAAGAAGGCCUUCGGGUUGUAAAGUACUUUCAGCGGGGAGGAAGGGAGUAAAGUUAAUACCCUUGCUCAUUGACGUUACCCGCAGAAGAAGCACCGGCUAACUCCGU